AGAAGCGCAUACGGUGGAUGCCUUGGCAGUCAGAGGCGAUGAAAGACGUGGUAGCCUGCGAAAAGCUUCGGGGAGUCGGCAAACAGACUUUGAUCCGGAGAUCUCUGAAUGGGGGAACCCACCUAGGAUAACCUAGGUAUCUUGUACUGAAUCCAUAGGUGCAAGAGGCGAACCAGGGGAACUGAAACAUCUAAGUACCCUGAGGAAAAGAAAUCAACCGAGAUUCCCUUAGUAGUGGCGAGCGAACGGGGAUUAGCCCUUAAGCUUCAUUGAUUUUAGCGGAACGCUCUGGAAAGUGCGGCCAUAGUGGGUGAUAGCCCCGUACGCGAAAGGAUCUUUGAAGUGAAAUCGAGUAGGACGGAGCACGAGAAACUUUGUCUGAACAUGGGGGGACCAUCCUCCAAGGCUAAAUACUACUGACUGACCGAUAGUGAACCAGUACCGUGAGGGAAAGGCGAAAAGAACCCCGGAGAGGGGAGUGAAAUAGAACCUGAAACCGUAUGCGUACAAGCAGUGGGAGCCUACUUGUUAGGUGACUGCGUACCUUUUGUAUAAUGGGUCAGCGACUUAUAUUCAGUGGCAAGCUUAACCGUAUAGGGUAGGCGUAGCGAAAGCGAGUCUUAAUAGGGCGUUUAGUCGCUGGGUAUAGACCCGAAACCGGGCGAUCUAUCCAUGAGCAGGUUGAAGGUUAGGUAACACUGACUGGAGGACCGAACCCACUCCCGUUGAAAAGGUAGGGGAUGACUUGUGGAUCGGAGUGAAAGGCUAAUCAAGCUCGGAGAUAGCUGGUUCUCCUCGAAAGCUAUUUAGGUAGCGCCUCAUGUAUCACUCUGGGGGGUAGAGCACUGUUUCGGCUAGGGGGUCAUCCCGACUUACCAAACCGAUGCAAACUCCGAAUACCCAGAAGUGCCGAGCAUGGGAGACACACGGCGGGUGCUAACGUCCGUCGUGAAAAGGGAAACAACCCAGACCGCCAGCUAAGGUCCCAAAGUUGUGGUUAAGUGGUAAACGAUGUGGGAAGGCUUAGACAGCUAGGAGGUUGGCUUAGAAGCAGCCAUCCUUUAAAGAAAGCGUAAUAGCUCACUAGUCGAGUCGGCCUGCGCGGAAGAUGUAACGGGGCUCAAACCACACACCGAAGCUGCGGGUGUCACGUAAGUGACGCGGUAGAGGAGCGUUCUGUAAGCCUGUGAAGGUGAGUUGAGAAGCUUGCUGGAGGUAUCAGAAGUGCGAAUGCUGACAUGAGUAACGACAAUGGGUGUGAAAAACACCCACGCCGAAAGACCAAGGGUUCCUGCGCAACGUUAAUCGACGCAGGGUUAGUCGGUUCCUAAGGCGAGGCUGAAAAGCGUAGUCGAUGGGAAACAGGUUAAUAUUCCUGUACUUCUGGUUACUGCGAUGGAGGGACGGAGAAGGCUAGGCCAGCUUGGCGUUGGUUGUCCAAGUUUAAGGUGGUAGGCUGAAAUCUUAGGUAAAUCCGGGGUUUCAAGGCCGAGAGCUGAUGACGAGUCGUCUUUUAGAUGACGAAGUGGUUGAUGCCAUGCUUCCAAGAAAAGCUUCUAAGCUUCAGGUAACCAGGAACCGUACCCCAAACCGACACAGGUGGUCGGGUAGAGAAUACCAAGGCGCUUGAGAGAACUCGGGUGAAGGAACUAGGCAAAAUGGCACCGUAACUUCGGGAGAAGGUGCGCCGGCUAGGGUGAAGGAUUUACUCCGUAAGCUCUGGCUGGUCGAAGAUACCAGGCCGCUGCGACUGUUUAUUAAAAACACAGCACUCUGCAAACACGAAAGUGGACGUAUAGGGUGUGACGCCUGCCCGGUGCCGGAAGGUUAAUUGAUGGGGUUAGCGCAAGCGAAGCUCUUGAUCGAAGCCCCGGUAAACGGCGGCCGUAACUAUAACGGUCCUAAGGUAGCGAAAUUCCUUGUCGGGUAAGUUCCGACCUGCACGAAUGGCGUAACGAUGGCGGCGCUGUCUCCACCCGAGACUCAGUGAAAUUGAAAUCGCUGUGAAGAUGCAGUGUAUCCGCGGCUAGACGGAAAGACCCCGUGAACCUUUACUGUAGCUUUGCACUGGACUUUGAGCCUGCUUGUGUAGGAUAGGUGGGAGGCUUUGAAGCGUGGACGCCAGUUCGCGUGGAGCCAUCCUUGAAAUACCACCCUGGCAUGCUUGAGGUUCUAACUCUGGUCCGUAAUCCGGAUCGAGGACAGUGUAUGGUGGGCAGUUUGACUGGGGCGGUCUCCUCCUAAAGAGUAACGGAGGAGUACGAAGGUGCGCUCAGACCGGUCGGAAAUCGGUCGCAGAGUAUAAAGGCAAAAGCGCGCUUGACUGCGAGACAGACACGUCGAGCAGGUACGAAAGUAGGUCUUAGUGAUCCGGUGGUUCUGUAUGGAAGGGCCAUCGCUCAACGGAUAAAAGGUACUCCGGGGAUAACAGGCUGAUACCGCCCAAGAGUUCAUAUCGACGGCGGUGUUUGGCACCUCGAUGUCGGCUCAUCACAUCCUGGGGCUGAAGCCGGUCCCAAGGGUAUGGCUGUUCGCCAUUUAAAGUGGUACGCGAGCUGGGUUUAGAACGUCGUGAGACAGUUCGGUCCCUAUCUGCCGUGGACGUUUGAGAUUUGAGAGGGGCUGCUCCUAGUACGAGAGGACCGGAGUGGACGAACCUCUGGUGUUCCGGUUGUCACGCCAGUGGCAUUGCCGGGUAGCUAUGUUCGGAAAAGAUAACCGCUGAAAGCAUCUAAGCGGGAAACUUGCCUCAAGAUGAGAUCUCACUGGGAACUUGAUUCCCCUGAAGGGCCGUCGAAGACUACGACGUUGAUAGGCUGGGUGUGUAAGCGUUGUGAGGCGUUGAGCUAACCAGUACUAAUUGCCCGUGAGGCUUGACC
rnacentral:rRNA from 1 species